rnacentral:rRNA from 1 species
GACAGAGGGUGCGAGCGUUGUUCGGAAUUACUGGGCGUAAAGCGCGCGCAGGCGGAUCCUGCAAGUCGGAAGUGAAAUGUGGCUGCUCAACGGCCACGCUGCUUCCGAUACUGCGGAUCUGGGGACCGGUAGAGGCUGGUGGAAUUGCAGGUGUAGCGGUGGAAUGCGUAGAGAUCUGCAAGAACACCGGUGGCGAAGGCGGCCAUCUGGACGGUAACUGACGCUGAGACGCGAAAGCGUGGGGAGCAAACAGG